UGGGCAACAACAAAUUGUGUCUCAAUCUAUAUAUUUCACAACUUUAGAGGCCUUAUCCUUCACCGGUAGUCUAUUAACGUGCAACCAAAAAUUUAAGAAAAGCUAUGAUUGAAAAACAAGAGUUUGGGCUGAAACCAAUGAAUUGCCCAGGCCACUGCUUGAUGUUUAAACAUAGAGUUCGCUCAUAUAGAGGACGAUGCAGUGAUGUAGAUGUUUGAGCUGCUAGUUAAUGGAUUGAUUGCUAAGUGAACCUGCCUGUAUACUGAAAUAAGCUCACUGCUCAGUCUCAUUUUGUGUGGCCCAUCUGUUCCCAACUUCCCUCCGUAUUCUUUUGCUCCUGGGGAAGGGGGUUAUCUAGAGUUUGUUUUAUUUUUAUAUAAUCAUAUUGAUAUACAGUGCAAGAUUUUUUCAACCUGAUAUUUGUUA